UACGGAGGGUGCAAGCGUUAUCCGGAUUUACUGGGUUUAAAGGGUGCGUAGGCGGGCCUUUAAGUUAGUGGUGAAAUCUUCCCGCUUAACGGGAAAACUGCCAUUGAUACUAUUGGUCUUGAAUUCAGUUGAGGUGGGCGGAAUGUGUCGUGUAGCGGUGAAAUGUUUAGAUAUGACACAGAACACCGAUUGCGAAGGCAGCUCGCUAAACUGACAUUGACGCUGAGGCACGAAAGCGUGGGGAUCAAACAGG
rnacentral:rRNA from 1 species